UACGUAGGAGACGAGCGUUGUCCGGAGUUACUGGGCGUAAAGGGUGCGCAGGUGGCCGCGCGCGUGGGGGGUGAAAUCGCCUGGCUUAACUGGGCGGGGGCCUUCCAGACGGCGUGGCUUGAGCAGCGGAGGGGGGCGUGGAAUUCCGGGUGGAGCGGUGAAAUGCGUAGAGAUCCGGAGGAACACCGGUGGCGAAGGCGGCCCGCUGGGCUCUUGCUGACACUGAAUCACGAAAGCGUGGGGAGCAAACAGG
rnacentral:rRNA from 1 species